rnacentral:lncRNA from 1 species
UAUUGAGGCUACGUCGUAAUAAGUUAUCUUUUGCGCUAUAUCUCAUUCCCAUUCUUACACCAACUAUGUUUCACCACAUCUUCUAACUCUGAAUUUAAUAAGCAGAAAUUUUCAAAACAAAAUUUUUUAAUCCGAUGGGUAUUGGCCAAAUAGUCAGUAAUUAAGAGAAUUGAGAAAUAGUCUGAUACACAUACAAAUAAGUU